UGAACGGACGUGGAGGUCGCUGCGGUUUCAAAAAUAUAAUGAUUGAUUCGUUAUGUGGUACGUAUUCAAACUACUAAAAAAAACAUUUUAAUGUCAACAUCGAAGGUACAUCGUACAUCAUUCUACAAAUAUAAGAUGACGGAACGAGAUUACGAUGGACUGUAUGAAGUUAAAUACAACAUUCCCCUUGAAUAAGUAUUACAAGAGAGGCUAUUUAAUAUCCAAACAUCCCCAUCGAUAUUUCAUUAAAAUAUUGGAAAAAAACUAUUGAAAAUCACUUUUUCUUAGAAACAGCUACAAUACAUUUAACAACAGCACCAAAAAUGCUAUCAAGAUAUUGUCAAUCUCUUUCAGGCUACAAAAAUUACAUUUAGCAUCUCGGAUUUCUAAUUGGGCUAUUGUUUUUCAUUUUAGUGGGAUAUUGUUACAUGUGUUGCUGUUACUACAUGUUUCUCAUACAGCUUGUGAUACCAUCUCAUGGAUUUGAGAAGUAUUCCAAGUUGUUACAUUCUGAUUGGGCGCCAUUUAUGUUACGGUCUGCUUGGGCCUAACGAGUUUUCCGACUAGCUCCCGACUCUCAGGAGGUCCCAACCCUGUCGUUAGGUUGUCAACUAUAACACAAAAAGAAGUACAUUCUACAAAACCUACACAAAACACAACGAUACCACACACGAAUCUCGAGACUGCUGUUUGUCCCGAUGUCAGCCCUCCCAACCUUGUCGUAGAAACUUCCGGAGCAUUUAAAUCUACGACCCAAUAUCCACACGACCGAACUCUUCCACUUACCAGUUCAUCACUGCCAUAACCUUCAACAAAUUAUUCCAACAUGGGCUCAAGCUACUAUUUCUCUAAUACCGAGAAUGUAAAUACUUUUGAAUUUUAUCACCUAAAGGAGCUCCCUGAGGCUAUAACUUUUUCCUGUCACUCUACAGGCGUGUAAAACAAUAAUCUUUUUCUUUUUCGCUUAAGCUCUUUUUAAGAAUUCUGUUUUCUUUUACCUUUGGAUUUUCAUAAUUUCCACAAGAUGUAUAUAUAUGUAUUUUCUCUUUUACUAUAUUAUUUUUCUUUUUCGGCUAUUUCGAGGGAAUACUGUACUUAAACAAAACACAUACAUCUAACUACACACUCUCGAAAUUAACACAUUAUUAUUCACAAACACACAACUUAAACUAACUUAUCU